rnacentral:rRNA from 1 species
UACGGAAGGCAGCAGUGGGGAAUAUUGCACAAUGGGCGAAAGCCUGAUGCAGCUAUGCCGCGUGUAUGAAGAAGGCCUUAGGGUUGUAAAGUACUUUCAUCGGGGAGGAAAAACAAAACUAAUAAUUUUAUUUCUUGACGUUACCCGAAAAAGAAGCACCGGCUAACUCCGUGCCAGCAGCCGCGGUAAUACGGAGGGUGCUAGCGUUAAUCAGAAUUACUGGGCGUAAAGAGCACGUAGGUGGUUUUUUUAAGUCAGAUGUGAAAUCCCUGGGCUUAACCUAGGAACUGCAUUUUGAAACUGAAAUACUAGAGUAUCGUAGAGGGAGGUAGAAUUCUAGGUGUAGCGGUGAAAUGCGUAGAUAUCUGGAGGAAUACCUGUGGCGAAAGCGGCCUCCUAAACGAAUACUGACACUGAGGUGCGAAAGCGUAGGGAGCAAACAGGGAUUAGAUACC